rnacentral:rRNA from 1 species
UGUACCUACGGGAGGCAGCAGUGGGGAAUAUUGCACAAUGGGGGAAACCCUGAUGCAGCAACGCCGCGUGAGUGAAGAAGUAUUUCGGUAUGUAAAGCUCUAUCAGCAGGGAAGAGAAUGACGGUACCUGACUAAGAAGCCCCGGCUAACUCCGUGCCAGCAGCCGCGGUAAUACGGAGGAUGCGAGCGUUAUCCGGAUUUAUUGGGUUUAAAGGGUGCGUAGGCGGUCCGUUAAGUCAGCGGUAAAAUUGCGGGGCUCAACCCC